AAUCAAGUUGUUUUGCUAACAAACUAAAAUACAUACAUCCUGGUAUUUAUGGUUACAGAUCAACGCUGAGACCAAGGUUUGCUCUGAGCACUUUGGGAAGCAGUGCUUUGUGAAGACCGCCUGUGGAAUCACAAAGCUUAUAAAGCAUGCUGUGCCAACCUUGUUCGCCUGGACUUCAGAGAGGCCAAAGAGGAGAAUCAUCAUUCGUAGACCGAGUAUGGAUUCCAUGGAGGUGGAUGAAAACCAGCCUGAUGAGAGAAGGGAUGCCUUGAGCAGAGGUACCUCCUCCACACCCGUACCAUGAUUAUGCUGUUCCACCACCAGAGGCCAGAGACACCAGAGGAACAACUUGAGGCGGCUCGCAAGCACAUCAUUGAGCAAGACAAGUUAAUAGCACAACUUAAAGAUAAAGUGUUCAGUGUGUCGGGAUUCCAGUGUGAUGAUGGUCAGAAUGUUAUUUUACACAGGAUUCCCAGACUAUGCCACCAUGCUGUAUAUAUGGCUCUACAGCCCACAGCCACAGGCAUGGUUGGAUGGAGUCAGGCUCAAAGGCUUACACAAACAGAGGUACAGGUCAUCAGAAAGGCAUUUAAUAUCCCUAAACUAGCAAUUAUGGACCAGUUCUUUCUCUUCCUCUGUCGUCUCAGACAGGGUUUUGCUGAGCAGUGCACUUUGGUGUGUCACAGUCAACUGUGAGCAGAAUCUGUGUCACCUGGGCUAACUAUCUAUACUUCAUGUUAGGAGUAGAUGAAUGUAUGCCUACUUGUUUUCAAAACACUUACCCAGACACCAGAGUCAUUCUAGACUGUACAGAAAUAUAUGUGCAAACGCCUAGUUCGAAGGUACUUAACUCCGAAAUCUAUUCCCAUUACAAGGACAACCCAACUUUCAAAGGCCUGAUUGGAAUUGCCCCGUCUGGUGAGGUGUCAUUCGUUAGUGACCUGUACACAGGCUCCAUAUCCGAGAAGGAGAUUACAGAAUUGUCCGGCAUCCUAGCAAUGCUUGAAGAAGGCGAU